GCCGAGAAUCCCGCGCCGUAGAACAUCGCGAGAGCUGGGCUGCGGGAGCCAGCGAGCGGGUUUUCCAAACGGCCAAUCGGGCUACCUAAGGUAUAUCUCCGCCAAUAAGACGUAGACCAAAUAGGAAGGCUGUUAAGGAUGUCCAGACAGACAAGACUGUCACCACUAUCAACAGCUGCGUGGAGUGGCUAAGCAAGAUUGCAAGGCAGGUUCGUUGUGUCUGCGGACACGUGCCCAGGCAACAUGGCAGGAGGCAUUCACAGGCACGGGAGACAGAACAGCAGUCCAGCUCAGAAACAUAGAAAUUAAGAUUGCUUAUCCAUAGUGAAAAUGGUUGAUUAUUGAUUAUUGAUUGUUUGUAUAACCCGGAAUACCCAAGGGUGUGCCCAUCCUCAAUUGGAAGGGAUAGAUGAGGCAGGCGACAGUGCUGUGAGAGGGACACCAGUGAUUUGAGUGCAGAGCCCUCUUUCCUCUAUAGAGUCAACUCCAUGCCAAUGCUUUUAACUAUUUACAGUUUACUGAAUUAUAAUAUACAUAUUAUUUCUAAUUCAGUAUAUAUAUAGGUAAAUAUUCCAAUAGGUAACAAAGGAAAACUUUGCAGCCAGGACCGGCUCUUCUUGUGCUGGUCUGCAAACUAUUCCAUCCAGCCCUGCUGAGGAUGCAGGCUUGAGCUGCCUCAACACGGCUCCCAGAGCCUGAGCCCAGUGUGCUGACCUGCACAUCUCUGUAGCAAAGAAGAGAUCCCGUGGAGGCUCUUCUCUUUCCAGCGUCCCUCGCUGUCUCUACCCAGCACGCUGGGCUUUUAUUUACACCAGAGGCCCUGCCCCUGAAGUCUGCCAGACCUGCAAAGCGCAGUUUUCAAUCUGGUCCAGGACCCCCCCCCACUCCCCAACUCCAGCAGGGGCAGGGCAAGCCCCUCCCAGCUGUUACCUGUUUGGUAGAAAUGUUCCUCCGAUCUGAAGUGUCCUUCUCCAAGCCGGGCUUGCCAGGCAAAAGCGGCGAGCCCACCACAUUUGUCAUUUAAAAUAUUGAAUGUCUGCUGCUUAUUGUUUUACAAGUUGUUGUUAUAAAACUUGUUGGCAUAACAGUUGUUGUUUUAAUAGUUGUUAAUUAUUUAUUGAUUGUAGUUAUAACAGUUUAUGGUUAUUAAUUGAUGAUCACUGCCACCUUGUAAAUGCUGUGUGUUUAUUAUGAUGAGCUAUGUAAAUAAACGUUUCUAUUCCUUUGA